rnacentral:tRNA from 1 species
UCCUCGAUAGUCUAGAGGUUAUGAUAGUACGUUCUCACCGUGCGGGCCCGGGUUCGAAUUGUUAGUAGUGACCCGGUCGAGGAA